CAGCUCUUGAGGGAUUGCCACUUUUUCUGCGUGAAAAUUCUGCUUGUUUUCUCAAGAUGUGUCUGGACACAGACCCUGAAGAUCACAGCACCAGAGAUGUAAGGAUUGGAAUCCUCACUGUGGUGGAAGAUGAUGUUGGCACUUCUGCAUCCCUGCCCAAUGUGAUAAACCUCGCUAUAAUCCUGGAGGAAGCCAUUGUUCUUCAGGAUAUUCCAGAUCUGCCUGCAGCCUUUGCUUACUUGUUCGGUUUCUUGUAUGCACUAAAUAUGGAAUAAACAAAAGAACUUUACUUAUGAAUAUACUUUUGAAGUGAUUCAGAAAGUAUUCAUGGAUCUUGGUGGCACAUGCUCUGCGAGAGUUCAGUCCCUGAAGUCUAAAUUGUUAUAGUUGCACACUGCCAUUUUGCAAAAAGGCACUGCAACCAUCAUUGGUUACAAACUUUGCAGACUGAAGAUGAAGACUGAAGUCUUGAGUUUUACAGUACUGUAUAUCUAACUAUAUUUUAUUUUAUUUUUUUUUCAUUUAAUACACAGGUAGGUGCAAUUUAAAGUUCAAAUGUGAAAUAAAACAUACUGUACUUUCAUAUUACUGUGUUCAUAGAUUUGAGAUGCUUUAUAGGAUGUUUGAACUGACAAUGUUUUGAGGUUCGGGAUGAGAAUUCUAGUGACUGUUCAAAAGUUUCUGAUGCCCCGUUGGCCAGAAAAA